UUGGUAUGAUGGAUAGAAUGCUGGACUUGUGAACAAGAAGACCUUCAUUUUUAUCUUACCUCAGAUAUUUACUUAACUGCUGAAUCCUGGGUACUUCCUACUACAAAAAGUACUGCUUGGCUGAUUUCAGAAAAUUCUAGAGAAAAGCCUGGAGAGACUUACAUGAUCUGAUAAGUGAAAUGAGUAGAACCAAGAGAACAUUGUACACAGCAAUAACAAGACUAUAUGAUAAUCAAUUGUGUUGGAUUCAGCUCUUCAACAAUGAGGUGAUUCAUGGCAAUUCCAAUAGACUUGUGAUGGAGAGAGCCAUCUGCACCCAGAGAGAGUAGUGUGGGGACUGAUUGUGGAUCGCAACAUAGUAUUUUUACCUUUUUUGUUGUUAUUUUGCUUGGUUUUUUUCUUUUUUUCUUUUUCUCUUUUGAUCUGAUUUUUCUUGUUGCAGCAUGAGAAAAUGUUUUGAAGAAUUGUACACAGUUAAACUAUGUUGAAUUACUUGCUGCCUAGGGAAGGAGGGAAAGGGAGGGAGAAAAA